rnacentral:rRNA from 1 species
CGGGACGGGUGAGUAAUGUCUGGGAAACUGCCUGAUGGGAGGGGGUAACUACUGGAAACGGUAGCUAAUACCGCAUAACGUCGCAAGACCAAAGAGGGGGGACUUCGGGGCUCUUUGCCAUCGGAUGUGCCCAGAUGGGAUUAGCUAGUAGGUGGGGUAACGGCUCACCUAGGCGACGAUCCCUAGCUGGUCUGAGAGGAUGACCAGCCACACUGGAACUGAGACACGGUCCAG